rnacentral:rRNA from 1 species
UUUAAUUCGAUGCAACGCGAAGAACCUUACCUGGUCUUGACAUCCACGGAAGUUUUCAGAGAUGAGAAUGUGCCUUCGGGAACCGUGAGACAGGUGCUGCAUGGCUGUCGUCAGCUCGUGUUGUGAAAUGUUGGGUUAAGUCCCGCAACGAGCGCAACCCUUAUCCUUUGUUGCCAGCGGUCCGGCCGGGAACUCAAAGGAGACUGCCAGUGAUAAACUGGAGGAAGGUGGGGAUGACGUCAAGUCAUCAUGGCCCUUACGACCAGGGCUACACACGUGCUACAAUGGCGCAUACAAAGAGAAGCGACCUCGCGAGAGCAAGCGGACCUCAUAAAGUGCGUCGUAGUCCGGAUUGGAGUCUGCAACUCAACUCCAUGAAGUCGGAAUCGCUAGUAAUCGUGGAUCAGAAUGCCA